rnacentral:tRNA from 1 species
GAGCCCGUGGCUCAAUGGUAGAGCGUUUGACUCAAAAACCAAAUGUCGUGGCUUCGAAUCCCAGGUUUG